UAGAUAGAUGGAUGGAUGGCGAGGAAAAUAACUAUGAAAAACGAAAUUAUUGUUGCUGUUUUUCCUAUUUGUUUGUUUUUUUGUUUUUU
rnacentral:ribozyme from 1 species